rnacentral:rRNA from 1 species
AACGAACGCUGGCGGCAUGCCUAACACAUGCAAGUCGAACGAGACCUUCGGGUCUAGUGGCGCACGGGUGCGUAACGCGUGGGAACCUGCCCUUAGGUUCGGAAUAACUCCCCGAAAGGGGUGCUAAUACCGGAUAAUGUCUUCGGACCAAAGAUUUAUCGCCUUUGGAUGGGCCCGCGUUGGAUUAGCUAGUUGGUAGGGUAAAAGCCUACCAAGGCGACGAUCCAUAGCUGGUCUGAGAGGAUGAUCAGCCACACUGGGACUGAGACACGGCCCAGACUCCUACGGGAGGCAGCAGUGGGGAAUAUUGGAAAACGGGCGAAAGCCUGAUCCAGCAAUGCCGCGUGAGUGAUGAAGGCCUUAGGGUUGUAAAGCUCUUUUACCCGGGAUGAUAAUGACAGUACCGGGAGAAUAAGCUCCGGCUAACUCCGUG